UACGGGGGGGGGCAAGCGUUGUUCGGAAUUACUGGGCGUAAAGGGUGCGUAGGCGGCUUUCUAAGUCGGAUGUGAAAACUCUGGGCUCAACCCAGAGCCUGCAUCCGAAACUGGAGAGCUAGGGUUCUGGAGGGGAAAGCGGAAUUCCUGGUGUAGCGGUGAAAUGCGUAGAUAUCAGGAGGAACACCGGUGGCGAAGGCGGCUUUCUGGACA
rnacentral:rRNA from 1 species